UUGCGUUAGGAUUAUUUCUGGCUAAACUCGCUCUUUAAGGUGGAAGAGCCAUCUUAAAUGGAAACUACAUCGGUCGCUCUCCUUUCACAUACACCAAAGUAACAUGCGCCUGUUUUAAUCUGAUUAAUACUUUUGAGAUUUCCUUCUAAUUGACUUGGACGUCGCAGAGGUGCGCUUGCAGGUCUCUUCCACACCUUUUCUCUACGGUGUUGUUCACGCACGGGAGUAGGCUAUUGCAGCGUUUCGGUUAAUUUUGGCCAGUUUAGCGAAACGAUCAAAAGUGAACACCGUACAUCAUCUCUGACCAUUCAAAAGCCUGUAUGUGAACAAGACAGCCGAAAGCAAUACCGCAGACGUAAAUUAUAGCGUAUGAUGCAAAGUGGAUUUUACCCCAAGAUCAAGGUAGAAUACGACAUCCUGGCAGACUAGCUGUGCAUUGUCUCAGACCUCUGCAGGAUUGUGAUGAGGGCAGAGGACACGGCCACUGUGGGAACUGAAGAAUACUGAGUGGUGACGUUGACAUCAACACCAAAUGCCUGAUGGGAGGAGGAACUUCACGCAAAGAUCCCACAAAGACAAAGCAAGGAAAGCAAAAGGAUCAUUGGCUCAACUGACAACAAACUGCUUGAAAUCAACUACGUACAUAAUGUAAUUCUGCAAAUAAUGUUAUGACGUAUGAUUAAAUAAUGCAACUGAACAAGACGUAGCACUGUGUUUCUUUAAAGAAGGAUGCAAUGAAAGAAAAUAUUUUCUUGAUGACAAUAGUAGAAAUGUUUAAUUAUCAACUGUACAAUAAUUUCUGCCAAAAGCACAAAUAAAUAAA